GACAACCCGCCCCGCCCCCACCUCCCCAGAAUGCCUGCAGAUUUGCACCGAGUCUGUGAUACCGUGUUCCGUUCUUCAUUUACAUCUGAUGCAAAACGAAGCAGGCCUUCGAGAGUACACAAGGCCAAGCGAGUUUCUGAGGAGACAACGUCCCAAAUGCCUGUUUGCAUGAGGAGAAGCGAUGUAGGCAUUUCGCAUAAAAGAGCACUGCCAUUUUCCUGGUGGCGCGGCUGCCUGGCUGUCACUGGUGUUCACUCCCCAGUGUCCCCAGCUGAGAGUGUGGGUUGCAAGGAUGAGCUCUGUUGAAGAGAGGAAUAUUUCGGAAACGGUGUUGUCUCCACUCCGGCUGAUUCACAGAUAUUUGUGUGAGAAGUAACUUUUUCCCAACCACAGCUGCCCAGUAGGAAAAAAAGUCACUUCCCAAGGGAGGCAACAGCAGGGGAGGAAGAGGGUCAGGCCGAGCCCAUGUGAGAUUUGAGGGUCCCGUCGCUGAUGAAGACAGCCUCUGGCUGCAGUAUUGUAGAAUGACACGUAUGAGGGUUUCCUGUUCUCCAGUGAGCUCUUUAGAGAAGCGAGGUUUUGGGUGUAUCCCAAAGUCAGAUGAAAGGAAGCAUGUGUCUGUUGGUCUUGCAACAAGUAUGGAACGUGUAGAAUCACUGGAAGGCUCAGGCCACACGGUAGAGCUGCGGGACAGGGUGUGGCAAGAGCAAAUCGAGUGCCACCUUGAGACUCUGGACACAAAGAUGUCGCUCUUCCUGCACUGGCCGCCAGUGUUGAGUAACAGAUUCCUGAGCCAGUCUUGGCGUAGGAGGUGUCUGCUCCCAUCCACACUUGCCUGACCUGGAGGAAAGCCUUGUUCUUAAGCUCCACCUGCCAUCUUCGCCCCCAGAGAAAGUCAGAUUCCACGCUACGCUUGCCAGGAACCCCGGGUUCGUGGUGUAGAUUUUAAGCAUGCAGGUCUAGGCCUCUGCUUGGGAGAUCAGAAUGAAGGAAAGUGAACCCUUUUCUAAAAACGCUGCUUUUGCUUUCUUGGUGAGGGGCAUUUCCUGGAGCCCAAAAGAGCGGGAGGGAGUGUUCUUCUCAAGCACAACAUUUUGGUGAAGCCCAUGUGUGAUGAUACCACUGUAACCACACAGGAAUUUACCACAGGAAGUGUCCCAGCUGGUGCUUAUUAGCAUUAGAACAAAUUACACAAAGCAAAUUGUUAGCAGACAUGUCUCCAUAAUCUUUAACUGGUGGCAAUGAAUAAGAGUGAUCCUCCUUCAAGCAAAUGCUAGAUUUCCAAACAUCCAGCCUCCAAUUGUCCGUGAAGGGAUCGCCUUGGACUAGGACAGCCUGGGAGGGAGGUGGCACCCCGGAAACCAAGGCCCCAGAGCCCUGUGCACCACAGCAAGCCCAGGAUGGGCAGAUACGGCUGCCCACUUAAAUUUCACAAGAUGGAACCAGGCACGUCUUUGACCAUCUGCUGGGCUCCUCUUGGGGUACUCAGUGUGGUCCUCUCAUGCCAGAAAUGGGGUGAGGGUUUAAAGCACAUGGCAAGACCACAGGAGAGGCAGGCGAGUGUUUGGUCUUUACAGUGUGUUUAUAAUUAAAAAAAAAAAAAAGCAAAUUGGUCCCAGCACAGGUUUGCACCCACCUCAACACAGUAUAGCAGCUUAAAAAACAAUCAGCCUCUACCCAGUUCUGUGUCUUGUUACUGAGGUUUAGACAAAAGUGAUGCACACCCCUUCCUCCUGUAGCCCCUGGAGGACAGUUGGAAAGGAGCCUCCAUGCUGGGGAGUGGGCACGCCUGCCGCGUAUGCUUGCGAAGAUCUGGCCAUAGCUUUAGAAAGAGAGCAGGAUAUUUCCAUCCUUCAGGGCUUUCUGUCAAUGACUAAAUUCAAGUCCCCAGUCACUUCUGGCAUUUCUAAUUUUCCCCCAGGAUUUGACAAAAAUUCUUCUUAAAAAAAAUCUCAAAGGCUAAUUUAAAAAAUAAUUUUAAUUAGAAAAAUAAGAUACUCCAUACAUAAACACAGACACAGGUCAAUGCCACAUCCUGGGUCAGGACUGUUAGAAUAGUUGUUCUUUGAUUUUUUUUUUCCCCCUUAAGAAAUGUUAGAUUUUGUUCUCCUUUUUCUCUCGAGGAAACCAAACCCAACCCAGUACUCCUUCCUAAGUUUAAUCUUCACUCCUGCUUUCCUGCUGAGAAGAAAAACCUUGUAGCCCUGCUAAAGGGAGAGGGCGGGGCCUGGUAUCCUCCCUGGGGUGCUCUGAACAAGCAAGGGCUUAGGAACUGCAGCCCGCCUGGAGCUCUACAGAUGUCUUUUUUCUGUCCCGGGUGAACUGUCCAGUUUGAAAUGUCCAGUUCCUGAGGGAACGGGCCCAGAACCCCAGAGCCCUUGUGGUAACCCAGCCGCCUGUAGGGCAUACCUUGCUUGCCUAAAAGGGCACUGCUAGCAGUCACAGCCAGUGGGUGACAAGGGACUGGGACCUGGAGACAAAGGCCACUAGCAUUUUAAACCAAACAAAUGCCUCCCACCUUGCUGCCGAGACCUUUCCAAGGCCACAUACACACACUCACACCCACCCCCCCUCUUUUACCUAAGGUCUUCACAAAGGAAAUAAUGUGCUUCAUAAAAUAUUCAAAAUGCCUUAGGCAAUAGAAUUGUCUCUUGAUUUCUUUUCAAGUGUUUAACGUACAAAUGUAAUUGGAAAUGUUUAGAACAUGAACGCACACACUUUAAUUUGAAAUUAUGCAAAACAGUAUCAUUAUUCAUUACAACCUGAAACCAAGCUACCACAAUGGAAUAACAAGCACCCUAUCUGUCAAGUGUGAGGCCCUCAAGUAGCUCUCAUCUGGGCCACCAUGACCCCCUGGCCUGACCCUUUAAGGUCUGCUUCGGAGGCAAUGGUUUGGCAUGUUCUACAUUUGAAAAGCUCUUUUAACUGCCUGGUUUGACAAGAUUUUUGAGAGGGAUGAAAAUUAAUUAUAAUUGCAGUAUAGCUACAAUCAUUUGGUCAGCUAAUUGCAUUUCAAUACAAAAACAAGCAAGAGGCAUUUCCUCUCCAGGUUAUUCUCCCUUAUGGCAGCAUUCAGUUUAAAAGCAGUGAGAUUUUUUAAAAGUCAAACCUUAAAUACCAAGGCUUCAGCAAUCUGGCCUGCUUAAAGCUCCACUUGGAUGGGACAGCACCUGGGUGGCAGCAACUGCACAGGGUGCCGUGCCAGUUUUCUCCUAGGCUUGACACAGGAACAGGACUCUCCCUGGAAAAUCACCCCAGGCAUGGCCUGGGGCUGAUUUUAUUUGGGGCACCAUGGUUUAUGUGUUUGUAGCCAGGGAGGCGCUGGUGAGGGUCACUGGACAUUUUGAAAAGAAAAAGAAAGCUUAAGGCUGCAAGUCAUUAAAGGUGGCACUUGCUGGUGGAGGAGGAUGCACCGCAGCAAGGGACGAGCCAAAAUCAAGGAGAGGAGCGCCUAGGCUGCCGAGGAAUCUUUCUGGAUCGCACUGUUUGCUUGCUUUCUUUCUUUCUAAAGAAAAAACAGAAAAACCAAGAAACAAACACACCAAAAAAAAAAAAAAAAAAAAACCCAACAAAAGCAAAAUGACAAUAAUAAACCCAACAAUAGCUAUAUAAGUUUUCAAAACAAGAAGGUAGGAAUUUAGCAAUGGUUGUUAUACUGCAUAUAGCUUAUCUUCAUAACAACCAUUCAGGUUACCAGAUGAUCACUCUGUUUUCAGGCAGGCAGUUCUGAAUAGGUAAGCUGCCGGACCUUCUGGGGGGAAUUAUCCAAGUCUAGAGCAUUAGGGAGCUCCCAGCAGUAACUAACCUUUGAGGGACAGAGUCUGUUCAUCACUUUAACAUUUGAAGAUUCUGUCUGACUCAAGUUAGUUUUGCCUGUGCUGAUUGAAGUCAACAGACUUUUUGCCCUAUAGCACCCCACUCAAGCUCAGUUCAGUGACAAGUUUGGGACCUCUCUUCUUUCCCUUCUCUGUCACAGUCUAAAUCAGCCACCAUUUUUGGGUCCAAAACAUUCUGUUAUCAAGUGUUUUCUUCAGUGCUGCUCCUCAAAGUGGGCCCAGUAGCACAGUGUGGAAUGUGUCUUAUGGUCUUCAUUUAAAUUGAUUUACAGAGGCUUGCUAUGCAGACCCACCCAGGGCUGCCCUCAAGGCCAUGCGGGUCAUGCUCCACAAAGGGCAGCUGGCCAGCGGUCAGGGGAACGUGAGAUCUCAUCCAGUUCCGCUUGCCCGCUAAGACCCCCUUCAGGCUGCAUCCUGGAGGAAGCUGAGCUUUUUCUGUCUUUUUUUGGUACCAGAAUCAAACUCUCGAGCUUGUGCUUGCAGGCAGGCACUGUGCCGCUGAGAUAUAGCCCCUGCCCAGCGGGCCCUUUUCUAAGUCAUGUUUGGGCCAGUGGAGAUCCUGGGCUAUCAGCGUCCCUCACCAUCCCUUAGAUGACAAGGUCUCCUCUCUGACUCUGCAGGUAUUUUUUUAAGAAAAAGAACAUCAAAGGCGUAUUUAUUGUGAAGCUAUGUUUCCUUUCAGGGGGAAUAAAGAAAGAAUAAAGAGAGGAAAAGAAGAAAGAAAGAGAGAGAGAGAGACUAGCAGAGAAGAGGCUGUCUUCCUGCCUAGUAAAUUGUGGGUUCAUUAUACUUCUCUGGACACAGCUGUGAUGGAGUAGAAAAUCAAUUUUUUUCUAUUACUCCAUGGUGAGGAAGGAAACCUAUUUGUAAAUUGAAUUAAACCCAAUAAUAGCAUGUCUGUGUAUUUGUGGAGAACUAGAAAAAUUAGCCACAGAUACAAAUACAGAAUCCAGCAAUGUAAUUAGAAAUCAGAACUCUCCCAUUUCGAAGCUUAGUCGAGACAUUUUUCUUUUUACAAGAAACACCCACGGCGAAAUGUCACUACGAUCUUAAGUGUGCCAACGCCUGGAUGCCACAGUGAGGGCUCUGACAAGGAAGGCAUCCCAAGGCCCAUCUGGGCUGUGCACGCCUCCCAGCUCAUGCCUUUGCUGCCUGUCUGUCAGUAGCUAACGACUGGAUAGGAGCGUGGACCCUCUAGGGGGUAGUUCCUCCCAGAGCUGCAGUGUGCAUUGCUGACCUCGGAGUAAAUUCCCUAUUUUGGUGUAAACUGGACCGUGUUCCUGGAAACCCCAGCCCAGCCACCCAGUUCAGAAGAAGCAAGCAAGCGACUGCACUCAGUGGUAGUGAGAUUUCAUUAGCAAUCUGCCCUCCAGUGGAGCAACGCAGUACUUCAGGUAACUAGGGAUAGAAAGGAUCUGCCUCCUCCCCUCCUUCCUUUUAGAGAAAAAAAAGAAAAUCAAGUUUUCCGGAUAGUGAAGGUGAGGGAGUCAUCCUCAGAGGUCAGCUUCCAAGCUGAGUCCAGCAAGGCUCAUACGGAAAGGUCCCCAGGUCAGAGGAGAGGCAGGGGUGCUGUGCUGUGCUGUCCCUGCACCAUCCUCAUGGACAAAGCUUUUCUUACAGCCUUUGGACCCUCCAGGGCUCACCUCGGGCAAAAGCAUUCAUACCCCUGUGCCUCCUUAGACAAAAGCACCCAUCCCAGGAACACCCAACACACCAAGAGUGUCAACAAUAACAGAGGUGGUUUUUUUUGUAAUUUUUUUGGGCAGGUCAGUGACACAUACAAGCCUUUCGAAAAAAGUAUACUGAAUGAAAAGGCAAAGGUACACAUGUUUUAUAAAAAGGCCAAGUCUCUGCGAGUGUGAGGGGCGAAUCUGCUUGGUGAUGUUAGCGGGAUGCUGGUAAGGUAGAGGUUAAUCUUGAGGUCUGUUCUCUUGGGUUUGGCGUCUGUCAUUCAGAUCAUUUCAGAACUUGGCUUGCUUCAGCUUGUCAAUGUGGUAACAGAGUUUCAGGGCAGGUCCCAGCUUCAGGCCCAGGUACUUCAUGAUCAUGUCACUUUUCAGCAACAAAAGAGCAUUGCCAUCGAUCUCCUGGUGGAACAGGAUCAGAAAAGGCCCAGAAAAUGAUUAGAACAGUCAAAACGUGGCUAAGGUGCACAGUGCUCCCCACAUAUUCUCUGGGCCUGAGGGCAAGAUCUCCUUUUGCAAAAAGUUAAAGUAAACUAGUACCCUGUGCUCCCCCCCAGCUCUGUUCCCAGUAUCCCAUCUAUGAUAUUUGUUACCCACACAGGGGCUAUAGGAUUCAUGAAGCUAGCCAGGCUGUCUUCUUCACUCAACAAACGUUAUUUUUCAGGUUGGGAGAAGAGAUACAGGGAACUCGCAUCACUGAGCUCACCAGCCACUCCCGCCAUCCAUUCAUUCAUCCAUCCAUCCAUCCAUCCCUCCAUCCCUCCAUCCAAUACUGAUGGAGUGCCUGCUCAGCAUGGCUGACUUUCUACACCCUUGGUAAAGUGACAGGGGUCGGGGGAGCCCAUCUGUGGGUCCCCCUCAGGAGCCUCAUUUCCUGAUGACCCUUCUUUACCCUACCUUGUGGACCCCCACCAUCUCCUAUCACCCUGGGAAGAAAGCCAGACUGCCCCUGGCCAAUCUGCCUACACACAGCCCCCACUGUCAGGCAGUGUUUAAAGUGUGCCUAACAAAAUGUGAGUGUUGAAUUAGAAGGUCCGCCCUGGAUCUGAAUUACCAAGUAAAAUGAGGAACAGAGAGGUGGGGAAAUUGGUCUGGUGACAGGCAGAAUAAUUAAUGUCCCUUCCCCUUCCUCCGAGAUGACUACAUCUUAAUCCCUGAACUUUGUGUGACUUGGUUAGGGGACUUGGUAAAGCGGAAGUCAGGCUAGGAUUCAGGGUGCUGGUCAGCUGACUUCGAAGUAGGGAGAUUAAACAAGGAUUAUGGGGAGAGCUGAAGGGUCCUUAAAAGUAGAGGAAAGUCAGAAGACAGGAUCCCCAGAGAGGCAGCCUCCAGGGGGUUUUACUAGAUGUCCCUGGCUUGAAAACUGAGCUCAGGGGGAACACAAGGAAUGUGUUGUGUUGGAGCUGGCCAAGGACGGGAAACAGAUCCUUCCCAGAACAUCCAAGAAGGAACACAGUCCUGCUGACCGACACCUGGUCGCAGUCCAGGGAGACCCCGGUCAGGCCCUGACCUACAAACUGUAAGAAUUGCCCGAGUAAUUGUAACAAUACCCGCUAACAGAAGGCUAUCUACAAGCCAGCGCCACGCCGAGUGCUUUAUGUGCAUUUUCUCAUUCAGUCCUCAAAGCAGCCGAGCAUAGGCAGUCUCCCAGCCCUCCUGGCACACAUAGGUGUGCGAUAAAUGACUGUUGGAGGCACAGACAGACGGAUGGAUGUGCAGGAGAGCAGGCGCGCCUGAUGAAGGCCAAAAUGAGAACAGAUGGGACCAAUAGCCCUUAUAAACAGAAUCAAGUGGGUGUUCCGUUCUGAGACGCCUGUGGCUGCAUCUGUCUCUUUCUCAUCUCUGUCUCCCUCGAGGGUGCCCCAGGGAUCCAUCCAGACCCCCACACCUGGGGAUCCUGAAACACCCCCAACCCGCUCCCCAGCCAGCCCCUGCGCGAGCUCACGUGCUUUCUGAAGAGCUCCACGUGCGGCCCCAGGGCCUGCGGGUCAGCAUCCUUCACAAACCGGACCACGUCCUCCACGGUCCAGGUGGCAGGGUUUCUGGUCCUCGGUGGCCUGGCGUCCUGGCCAUCUGCAGGGAGGCUGGAGGCUGAACGGAGCAAGCAGAGGGGCCGGUGAGUUUCUGGGCUUCGGUGCCUACCUGGUGCUGCCUGCCACUUCUGACUGGGGAGGACUGGGUGAGGGGACACUUGGUGCCUUGGAGUCCAACGUGGGCCCUGUCUGCCCCAUGGGCUUCACUCUGAGACACUGAAGACGCAGUGUGCCUAUUGGUCUCAGGCUGGGCCUCUGCAGAAUGGCUAAUCCCCACCUCGACCACACCAGCCCUGAUUCUGAGUUCUCCACCUCUGUCUGAACCCACGGCAGGACAGUGUGUCACUGUACUCACUGCCCAGGCGCCCGCGGAGGCCAUCAGAGCACUGGUUCUGCUCUUCGCAUGGCCCUGAGAUGCCCAGGGCCACCCCUGCGCCUGGCCAAGCCGCUCCGUGGGCACCGUCUGUGAGCAUCACUUCCCUUGCAGCGGAUGGACGUGCUUAGGACGGCAGAGUGGGAGGGAUCAGGAAGCAGCUGGCUGGGGGUGGCCAGGGCUCACCUGUUCUCGUGUGCACCCUAACCUAACUCAUCCUCUGCCCCCAGGGCCAGUGCCCCCCUCCACUGUCCACCUCCUCCCUCUUCUUUGCUCCCCACAUUUAAUUCUUCUGCAGCACUGGGGAGGACACCUCUGGGUGCCUAUCCCCCCUUUCUAUCCCCGCUGAAGCUUGGCUCAGAACCUCUCGCCAACCCCUGUGACAGUUUCCUACAGGUCUCUUUGCCCCAGCGCAGAACUGCCACCAGCUGCUGCCAUUCUUGAGACCCAGCUGUGUCUGGGCACAUCUCUCAGACUCUCCGAGGGUCCCCCUAGCCAGACAUUGUACCCCAAGAUCAAGGGCUGCUUUUGGUCUCCGUGGUACCUUUCCUUCCUAGAAGGAGGGGGAGAAGUGUUUUGGUGGCAGAGACCGCCAGAGCUGCUGGCUGCUAACAAUGUGAGCCGGCCACACCGGGAGUAACGUGGCCACACUCUCCAGCCGGAGGGCAGCUGUGAAGACCGGAACCCAGGAGUGCCAGCCCUCCGGCUGAGCUGGGUCAGGCGGGCCACAGAGUCUCCCCAAGGCCAGUGUCUCCCACCGUCUUCAUCCUUAGCUGGCACCCUGGCUUCUGUCAGGAGACCUGCACCUCCUGCCUCCCACCGAUGCCCACUGGCUGUCCCAGCCGGGGAACCCCAGCUGCCCGUGUGAGCAAUGUUGCCCUCUCUCGCUGUCCGCACAUCACCUGCCUCUCCCCUUUUACCCUGACCCAAGCUGCUGUCUACACUGUGCUUUGUAGACCAACUGUUUACGGGCUUUUCUCUGACUCGCAACCAGAUUUUAAUUUCCCGAGGAUUCUCCCUGUGCCUUCCUAACUACUGACACCUUUUCUGUAAAGGGCUUGGGUGAAGUGUUUGGUGAAAAAUAAAGCAUGGUCUUCUGGUUA